GACGAACGCUGGCGGCGUGCUUAACACAUGCAAGUCGAACGGAAAGGCCCUGCUUUUGUGGGGUGCUCGAGUGGCGAACGGGUGAGUAACACGUGAGUAACCUGCCCUUGACUUUGGGAUAACUUCAGGAAACUGGGGCUAAUACCGGAUAGGAGCUCCUGCUGCAUGGUGGGGGUUGGAAAGUUUCGGCGGUUGGGGAUGGAUUCGCGGCUUAUCAGCUUGUUGGUGGGGUAGGGGCUUACCAAGGCUUUGACGGGUAGCCGGCCUGAGAGGGUGACCGGCCACAUUGGGACUGAGAUACGGCCCAGACUCCUACGGGAGGCAGCAGUGGGGAAUAUUGCGCAAUGGGCGGAAGCCUGAUGCAGCAACGCCGCGUGCGGGAUGACGGCCUUCGGGUUGUAAACCGCUUUCGCCUGUGACGAAGCGUGAGUGACGGUAAUGGGUAAAGAAGCACCGGCUAACUACGUG
rnacentral:rRNA from 1 species